rnacentral:rRNA from 1 species
UACGUAUGGGGCAAGCGUUAUCCGGAUUCAUUGGGCGUAAAGCGCGCGUAGGCGGCUUGUUAAGUCAGAUGUGAAAUCCGGGGGCUCAACCCGCGGCUUGCAUCUGAAACUGGCAGGCUUGAGUCUGGUAGAGGAAAGUGGAAUUCCUGGUGUAGCGGUGAAAUGCGCAGAUAUCAGGAGGAACACCAGUGGCGAAGGCGGCUUUCUGGGCCACGACUGACGCUGAGGCGCGAAAGCUAGGGGAGCGAACAGGAUUAGAUACCCCCGUAGUCC